rnacentral:rRNA from 1 species
GGGUCAGUAGGUUGGUCGUGCCACCGGUACGUACUGGUCACACUGAAUCCUCCUUCCUGAAGAACCGUAAUGCCAUUAAUUUGGUGUUGCGGGGAAACAGGACUGUUACUUUGAACAAAUGAGAGUGUUUAAAGCAAGCUAACGCUUGAAUACAUUAGCAUGGAAUAAUGAAAUAGGACGAUCGAUCCUAUUUUGUUGGUUUCUAGGAUUGACGUA